rnacentral:rRNA from 1 species
GCCGCGUGUGUGAAGAAGGCCUUCGGGUUGUAAAGCACUUUCAGCGAGGAGGAAAGGUUAGUAAUUAAUACUUGCUAGCUGUGACGUUACUCGCAGAAGAAGCACCGGCUAAUUUAGUGCCAGCAGCCGCGGUAAUACUAAAGGUGCAAGCGUUAAUCGGAAUUACUGGGCGUAAAGCGCGCGUAGGUGGUUUGUUAAGUUGGAUGUGAAAGCCCAGGGCUCAACCUUGGAACUGCAUUCAAAACUGACUCACUAGAGUACGAGAGAGGUUAGUGGAAUUUCCUGUGUAGCGGUGAAAUGCGUAGAGAUGGGAAGGAACACCAGUGGCGAAGGCGACUGACUGGCUCGAUACUGACACUGAGGUGCGAAAGCGUGGGGAGCAAACGGGAUUAGAUACCCCGGUAGUCCACGCCGUAAACGAUGUCUACUAGCCGUUGGAGGACUUGAUCCUUUAGUGGCGCAGCUAACGCGAUAAGUAGACCGCCUGGGGAGUACGGUCGCAAGAUUA